rnacentral:rRNA from 1 species
UACGGAGGGUGCGAGCGUUAAUCGGAAUUACUGGGCGUAAAGCGCACGCAGGCGGUUUGUUAAGCUAGAUGUGAAAGCCCCGGGCUCAACCUGGGAUGGUCAUUUAGAACUGGCAGACUAGAGUCUUGGAGAGGGGAGUGGAAUUCCAGGUGUAGCGGUGAAAUGCGUAGAUAUCUGGAGGAACAUCAGUGGCGAAGGCGACUCCCUGGCCAAAGACUGACGCUCAUGUGCGAAAAUGUGGGUAGCGAACAGG